CAGUCGCCGCGGUAAUACGAAGGUCCCGAGCGUUGUUCGGAAUCACUGGGCGUAAAGGGAGCGUAGGCGGUAUGGUAAGUCAGAUGUGAAAUCCCGGGGCUCAACCCCGGAACUGCAUCCGAUACUGCCGUGCUAGAGGACUGGGGAGGCAACUGGAAUUCUCGGUGUAGCAGUGAAAUGCGUGGAGAUCGAGAGGAACACUCGUGGCGAAAGCGAGUUGCUGGACAGUAUCUGACGCUGAGGCUCGAAGGCCAGGGUAGCGAAAGGGAUUAGAUACCCGAGUAGUCCCUGUCUCUUAUAA
rnacentral:rRNA from 1 species